GGCAGCCUGCGCCGGGCGGGCGGGCCCGGGGACAACACUCCCGCUGGGUGUGCGCGCAGGUUGCGUGUGUGUCCACACUGAUGCCAGGUGCGGGCACAGGUUGAGUGUGUCUGUGUGUGUUCCUGCGCGCUGAUUCCAGGUCUGGGCACAGAUUGAGUGUGCGUGGCCGCAUCGACUCGAGGUGCGGGCACAAGUGCAGUACCUCUAAAGCCAGAAUCUUCUACUCUCACCCACUUUCAGCGCUCUCAUUCAGCUCUCAAAUGGCCAUACGGAUAAGGCUGAUGAACUCAGUGGCUUGAAAUGUGCAUGAGCUGCAAGAAAGGAGAGACUUUUUCAGGCAAGAGACGGGAAAUGCAGAGGGAAGGAGUGAAGAAUCCCAGAUGAUGGGCACCACCUAGUGCAACAUCAGCGAACAUUCGAAAAAGUCAUCUUACAUUUCUGAAGUGAAAGGAGCAGAAAGCAAGUUAUGAGACAAAGGAAUAAUUGAGUAGGGGUAUGGUAUUAAGCAGCAUCAACAGGCAAGAAGGACGGUAUAUAAGAAGAGUGGUUGACAGCUGGCGAAGCAUGUAUCCAGGCCUAAUACACACUGCAGAUAGAAUGCAGGAAUUGCCAUAAGGAUAAUGCCAGCAGCCAGCCGACUCACGUUUCUCUACCUAUCAGGCACAACCUUCAGCUGCAUUGCAAUAGGUUCUCCCCAUUAAAAGAGGAAGAAAAAGUUGCCAGAUUUCAUCACUGCUAGGAGAAAGGAAGUGUAACAGGGAACCCAAACCUUGUCAUCUCUUUGCAAUAGAGGGAGAAGAGAGGGGAACUGACCGCUUCCAUGAGCUGAACAUUUGGGACUCACAGGGAAAGGGCGUGCAUCAAAAGAGACUCAAGCCUGGAGGCCAAGAGCAGCUAAGAAGCCAGGAAAGACUGCAAAGCAGGGGAAGCCAAGAAGCCUAUUAAUAGACACCUGGACAGCUCUUUCUUCCUUAGGGGCAGUGGCCAAGUGACAAACAAAGGCAGGGCGUAAGGAAUAUAAACCUGCCCCAAGCUGGGAGGGGAGGAAGGUUCUAGGACAGUGUUUCUCAACCUUCUAAAUAGCAAGAACCCCCUAUCUUCUGAAAAAUUUAGCUCUCACGCAUCUUGACAGCUAUCUCGACAAAAUAGAGUCACUGUGGACUACCAGACUUCUUCUUCGGUCUUGGGUGAGUCCAGCAUUUGAUCUUUCGAGAGUUAAGCCCUCUAGUAGCACUAACACUUAAAAGAAAACAACAAAAAGAAAAGAAAUAGAGCCCAUCUGGGCUGAUGUACCUGGGUCUCAGGGUAUAUUACACAGUCUGGGGAUUUUUUUUCCCCUUUUUAGUGCCAGGUGGUCCCUGGUUGUCUGCUCCAGUACACUGCUGGCUUGCAGAGACCAAGGUAUGUCAGAUCAAACAAAAAAAAGAGCGAAAAAAAGUAACUAAAUAUCAGGACCUUAUAAGGAGGCGCAGCCACUCUCCUUUCCGCUGGCCUCUUCCUCCAUGGCAGGUCCCCCGCUGCUUGUGCUGGUCCGCACUUCUCUCCUUUGCCAGCUCCUGCUGGCUCUCAGUAAGUACUUUCUGU